rnacentral:rRNA from 1 species
AUUGAACGCUGGCGGCAGGCCUAACACAUGCAAGUCGAGCGGAGCGGCGGACGGGUGAGUAAUUUCUGGGCAACUGCCUGAUGGAGGGGGAUAAAUACUGGAAACGGUAGCUAAUACCGCAUCCCCUCCGAUGUACCCAGAGGGGGUUAGCUAGUUGGUUGGGUAAAGGCCUACCAAGGCGACGGUCCGUAACUGGUCUGAGAGGAUGAUCAGUCACACUGGAACUGAGACACGGUCCAGCCUCCGAAGGGAGGCAGCAGGGGGGAAUAUUGGACAAUGGGCGAAAGCCUGAUCCAGCCAUGCCGCGUGUGUGAAGAAGGUCUGCGGAUUGUAAAGCACUUUAAGUUGGGAGGCGGUACCAACAGAAUAAGCACCGGCUAACUUCGUGCCAGCAGCCGCGGUAAUUC